AAAUUAAAUAUUGAAUGGUAACUGUACUUCAACUUGGUUUAUUUAUUUGAAGCUUAAAUAGAUAUUGUCUUUCAGAAUAUUGAUGGGAAAGUCGAACUUCAGCCCUGAGUUUGAAGGUGUUAAUUGCUUGACAUUCUGAAUUAGGUGGUAUGGAAGAUUACAAUGUCAUCAAAGCAUUGACUGGCUUCAGUGUGGUUGUUCUACUCUGCAAAUCUACGAAAGUUGGUGGAUGUUGUCCUUGGUACUCUGGUUUUCCCUGGCCUUUUGUUGAUCUUUGAGUCUUCGGUGGAUUGCAUCUAGGCGGAGCAGCUUUCCACAACCUGAAAGACAAUAUUAAUGUUAGACUGUAAACUAUUAAAUAAAUAUUUCAAUGAAA